rnacentral:rRNA from 1 species
AUUGAACGCUGGCGGCAGGCCUAACACAUGCAAGUCGAACGAGUGGCGGACGGGUGAGUAAUGUCUGGGAAUCUGCCCGAUGGAGGGGGAUAACUACUGGAAACGGUAGCUAAUACCGCAUACCAUCGGAUGUGCCCAUAUGGGAUUAGCUAGUAGGUGGGGUAACGGCUCACCUAGGCGACGAUCCCUAGCUGGUCUGAGAGGAUGACCAGCCACACUGGGACUGAGACACGGUCCAGACUCCUACGGGAGGCAGCAGUGGGGAAUAUUGCACAAUGGGCGCAAGCCUGAUGCAGCCAUUCCGCGUGUAUGAAGAAGGCCUUCGGGUUGUAAAGUACUUUCAGCGGGGAGGCGUUACCCGCAGAAGAAGCACCGGCUAACUCCGUGCCAGCAGCCGCGGUAAUAC